rnacentral:rRNA from 1 species
AUUGAACGCUGGCGGCAUGCGUAACACAUGCAAGUCGAACGGUGUUUGGUGCUUGCACCAGACAUAGUGGCGGACGGGUGAGUAAUGCGUAGGAAUCUGUCUUAGAGAGGGGGACAACCCGAGGAAACUUGGGCUAAAACCGCAUAUUCUCGAGAGAGGAAAGCAGGGGACCGGAAACGGCCUUGUGCUCUAAGGUGAGCCUACGUCGGAUUAGCUAGUUGGUAGGGUAAAAGCCUACCAAGGCGAUGAUCUGUAGCUGGUCUGAGAGGACGGACAGCCACACUGGGACUGAGACACGGCCCAGACUCCUACGGGAGGCAGCAGUGGGGAAUAUUGGACAAUGGGGGAACCCUGAUCCAGCGAUGCCGCGUGUGUGAAGAAGGCCUGCGGGUUGUAAAGCACUUUCAGUGGGAAAGAGAAGACGUCUUGUGAAUAAAUGGGACGUGGAGACGUUACUCACAGAAGAAAGCACCGGCUAACUCUGUGCCAGCAGCCGCGGUAAU